rnacentral:tRNA from 1 species
ACCUGGCUGGCUUAGUUGGUAGAGCAUGUGACUCUUGAUCUCAGGGUUGUGAGUUCAAGCCCAUGUUGGGCA